GGACAGUGGAGCUAUACGCAGCCCUGUCCUGAUGCUCGUGAGUGUCUUGCUAACUCUCCAGACUCCUUAAGUCUGGAGGAAUUUACACCUGCUGUGAUGGAUGUCUCGACUUCAUAUAUGUUGUUUUACCUUUGAAUGAAUAGCUUCAUGCUGGAUGUCCUUCCUCCUGAGCAUAAAGUCCCUAUUCCGGUUUACUCCGUAUAUAUGAGCUUGGAAUCGGGCAUUGAGAGAAUUAAGGUUGUCAUUAAAAAAAAACUUACCUGACCCUUGCCUGGAGAUGUACAUGUAUGAAGGUAUGGGAGAUACCUGCUGCAGUCCCUUCUACUUACAUUUGGGAGGUACGGUUGUUUGGGGGAAUCAGCAGCAAAUAUUAAAUGAUACAUUGGC